rnacentral:rRNA from 1 species
UACGUAGGGCGCGAGCGUUGUCCGGAAUUAUUGGGCGUAAAGAGCUCGUAGGCGGCCUGUCGCGUCGGUUGUGAAAGCCCGGGGCUCAACCCCGGGUCUGCAGUCGAUACGGGCAGGCUAGAGUUCGGUAGGGGAGAUCGGAAUUCCUGGUGUAGCGGUGAAAUGCGCAGAUAUCAGGAAGAACACCAAUGGCGAAGGCAGCUCUCUGGGACGGUACUGACGCUGAGACGCGAAAGCGUGGGGAGCGAACAGG